UAGAUAUAUAUACACAAGUCUAGUAGCUGAAGAAAAGGGAGAAGGGAGCGCAGCUUUUAACGGAUCCCCGACCCCCCACUUCAUUUUCUUCACAAGCACCCCCCUCGUUUUAAUCUUCUUCAGCAAAUAAGAACAAAAAGCAGAAAUACACAAGAGACCCACCCCCCUGAUUUCGUCUUCUCCGAACAACCCACCCCCUAAAGUUCACCUCCCUCAAACCACCCCACCCCCGAACGACCCUGAGCCUCUUCUUCUUCGUGACCCCCUCACCCAAGAACACACAACCAUCAGCCAUUAUUGAGAAGAGGGGACCUGAAGAGCUAAUCUAAUGCCUAGGAGCUAAAAACACAAAAAAAUGAGAGCUGAAACCAGCCGAAACGCACACGACCUCUUCCCCUCCCCUAACAUGUUCUUCUUCUCCAUGAACAUUGGAGAACCCUAAGACGAAAACCUCCAAACACCAGCAGCAGCCAUCGCCUCCUUCAUCUUCAUCGCCGGCUACCAUUCUUCUUUCUCCCUCGUCUCCCGUUUCUCUAUUAUUGCUGCGACGGGGACGACGGGAUUGACCAUAUAUACAUGUUUUCCGAUAGCUCACUUCUAGUACAUGUGAGGUCUAUUUCAGUUGCGUGUCGAAGUUGCCGUUCGAGGGCUCCGUCCAUGGUUCGUCGUGUUUGAGUUUAACGUUGCCUCACAACUAAUGUAUUGAUCCAUUUUGAGGUUUGGUUCCUCAUUUUUUCAUACUCCGUUUGCUUAAUAGUGUACUUCCGUCAACUUUGUUGUUCACUGUUAUAUGGAUGUUUGAGUUAUUUGUUCAGUUUGCUUUUAUUCUUAUUUAACGUUACGUGAGAAAACUUUGAGAUUUCCACUGGUGUUGUUUGUGUUUCCCUGUUGAUUGAAUGAAUGAUAUUGGGUGUUCUUUUAUGUGUAUUUGAACCUUGGAUGGACGAAGUUAUCAUCCAUGGAUUUUAAUCUGUUUGCUCAUAAGCUCGUGUUGUUAAUUUUUGUGAUAGCGUGUUAAAAUAAAUAUUUGGUGCGAGGUGCUGAAUUAACUAAUUUAGCUCAGGAAGUUUUGGAUAAUCAUUUUUAUAUUUAGCUCAUUCUAUUCCAUAAAUAUUUUAUCUAAUGUGCUGUAAAGUUUAGUAUGAAAAAUGGGUCAUGACUUUGUUCUGUUAAUAUGUCGAACAUUUGGAUGUUUAAUAGGUUACGGCAGUAAAUUGGGAUCAAGGUGUGCCAUGCCGAAUAAAAUCUUCAAACGCAUGGCCCUCGCUUAACUAUUAAUUUUAACUCUUUAAAUAUCGAGGCAUGCCAUUAGUUGAUUUUCUAUGGCCCUCGCAAACUUGAAAGUGCGUAGUUGCUUUAGGCGCGUUAUUUUAAUANGANNCNNAUCUAAUUCUUAACAAUGUUAAAUAAAAUGUGUCGCGGACCGCGGGUUCAUUUCAUGUGGCGUGGUUCAAGGCGUAAUUUAGAUGACGCUGAAUCUUCCUAAAAUUAACUUAAAGUGGCUAAUAAGUUAAAAUUGAAUCAUAGGCUAAAACAUGUAUUUAAAAUCAGAUAAUAGGCCAAUAUUAACAGUUGAGCGACCGUGCUAGGACCACGAAACUCGGGAAUGCCUAACACCUUCUCCCGGGUUAACAGAAUUCCUUACUCGGAUUUCUGGUUCGCGGACUGUAAUGAAGAGUCAAUCUUUUCCUCGAUUCGGGAUUUUAAUCGGUUACUUGGGACACCAUAAAUUAUCCCAAGUGGCGAUUCUGAAUUUAAUAAAUAAAUAAAUCCCGUUUCGAUGGUCCUUUAAUUGGAAAAACUCCCUUAUACAUCCUCUUUACGCGGGUUUAGGUGAAAAAGGAGGUGUGACAUAGGGAAUUCUGAUUCAAACGGGUAAAAACGAUUUAAGAAAAGCAAUUGAAUAAGCACUUUGUGCAAAGCAUGCAAUUAAGGGUAAAUACGUAAAAGGUUAUUUAAGGACAGGAUUUUGAAGUACAAGGUUGUACAGAUAAGGUAGGAAAAUCAAUUAGUAGCUAGUAAAUCAAUAGUUAGGGAUCUUGUAAUUACUGAUCCAUGAAUGAACCAAGUCAUAAAAGCUGAGAAUGGUUUUAAAAUUAAGUCGAGUCAUGAGGAAAAUUAGCAAACAAGGAAGGAAAAUCAAUUAGUCCUAUUCAAAAGGAAGUCUAAACUAAUCAUAAAUUUGGAAACCCCUUUAGAGGGAGGUUCAUCACAUAUAAAGAGCAUACAAACAUGUUGAGUUGAAAGAAGAUGUUGUGCCAUUGCAAAAUCAGUAGGUAGUGGUUCGUCAUAUAAGUCAGUAAUGCAGAAGAGAAGUAGCAUUCUGAUAGCAUGCAAAAGAUCCAGUAAAAAGACUUUAGAAUUAUGUGAAAACAAGGAUAACCAAGCUCAGUUCAGAGACUCGAAAUUGGUCUGAAAGAGUUGGGGGUUUUGAAAUAAUACCUUAGUUCGAGCAAAUCACAUAGCCAAACCUAGAAGAACCCCCAAAUUCUAGGGUUUCCGCCAUUAAUCGAGUGCAGAGAUGAGAGGGCAAGUACUAAAAUUCGAAACAGGUUUAGAGGUCCCCAAAAAAGAACUAAAACUUCUAACAUAUUCCUUUCAGCAACAAAACUAAUGAGAAAACAUGAUAGAAAAGUAACAUGCAGAACAUAGCAGAAGAGCUCAAAGAAAACAGAGUAGGAGAAGCUAAUACGAAACAUAAUAGGAAAAAUUGAUAAGAACAGUAGAAGAAGCAUGCUAAAAAGUUUUAGAAGAAACUUAAACAGAGCUCAGUAGACGGCUAAUAAGAAACACUUAAGAACAUAGUAAAGGAAGAUACGAUAGGAGAAACACACAAGAACACAGUAUAGGAAAACACAAGAACACAGUAUAGGAAAACACAAGAACACAGUAUAGGAAAACACCGUAGAAGAAGCAUACAAGAACACAGUAGAGGCAGAUACACAAAAAGAAAAAGAAAGUUAUAGAAACAUUUAAAUACUUUUCAGAAAAUCCUAGAUCGGAAAAGAAAUGGUUUUGAAAUUAGUUUUUCGAAAGAAAAGCCAAAAAAUCAUUUAAAAGCUUAGGGAAAGCAUAGAUACACAACAGAUCUAAAGGAAUCAGAAAACCUCGUAGGGUUAGUGUUUCAGAAGAACCUCAGUAUUGAGAAAGGCUUGAAAAAGUCACUGAUCUAAGCAGGAAAGGUCGAGGUUAGGCUCAAACAACCAUAGUACGCCGGAGCAAAGCUGGAGAUGGUCGUAGAACUUGAAUCAGACGAAGCCUGGACCAACUUCGUUGUGGUCAGGCCAUGAAUCUUCAAAAACCAGGCGUGUAGGAGCCGUAGGAGGCCGGUUUAGGAUUCCGAUGGCCUUGGAAGCCAUUGAUUCAGGUGGCUUUAGGGUGGAAGUGGUGGGAGGCGGCUAGGGUUUGAGAAGCUUCGAGAGAGUUUGAGAGAAUGGGAGGGUUCAGAGGUGGGUGGUAGGUGGAAAAUGAUUUAGGUUUAGGGGGGUAAUGGGUAAUUAAAAAUGGUAAGGUUGAAAUGUGGUCGUUGAUCAUUUUGAUCAACGACCUGGAUUAAACGGGGGAGGGUCAUUUAAACCGGCUGUGGGUUGGGUAAUUUUAGGAAUUGGGCUGGGUGAUUUGAAAUUGAAAUUGGGUUGGAUUAGGGGUGCAAAUUAGGCUGAAAUUGAAAUGAAAUUUGGCUAGAUUUUAAUUAGCCACUUUUCCUCGUUUAUUAUAUAAAAAAAACCAAAUUAAAAUCUGGAAAUAAAUUGAAAGUACUAAAAUGAUUUAUAACAUAUAAUUAUUAAUUUCAAAAUACUGGACUUAAUUUGUAUAAAUAUAAAUGCAAUCAAAUCAUAAAUGAGGCUAAUAUUGCAAUUACAUGCAGUUGAGCUUUAAAAAUACUAAAUAAAUUUGUAAAAACAUGCAAAAAUUAUUUGGGCUAUAGUAUAGCAUACAUAUGAGAAUUCAACAAGUUAAUCACCAAAAAUGAUAAUUUUGGACACUUAUUGGAUUUUUCUUGAUAAAAUAAGGCAAUAAAAUUGAUUUUAAAAGCCUUUAAAAUUAAGGAAAAAUAAUAAAAAUAUUUUUAAAUACAUAUAUAUGCAUACAUAUGCUAUUUUGAAAGUGUUUUGUAUAUAAAAUUAUAUAGAAAAAAAUUGGGUAUCAACACUUGGGAUCAGUUCUUGCCAUUUGCGGAGUUUACUUACAACAACAGCUAUCAAUCCAUCAUUUAGAUGGCAUCGUAUGAGGCUUUAUAUAGUAGACGGUGUAGAUCCCCGGUGGGUUUGUUUGAGCCAGGUGAGGCCAGAUUAUUCGGCACAAACUUAGUUCAAGAUGCUUUGGAGAAGGUCAAGGUGAUUCAGGAUAGACUCCGUAUAGCCCAGUCUAGACAGAAGAGUUACGCGAAUCGGAAGGUUCGUGAUGUUUCUUAUAUGGUUGGAGAGCGGGUUCUACUUCGGGUUUUGCCUAUGAAGGGCGUUAUGAGAUUUGGGAAGAAAGGGAAGUUGAGUUCGAGGUUUAUUGGCCCUUUUGAGAUAUUGAGGAAUGUUGGGGAGGUUGCUUAUGAGCUUACCUUACCUCCUAUCUUGGCAGGAGUUCAUCUGGUAUUUCAUAUUUUGAAGCUCCGUAGGUAUCACGGUGACUAGUCACACGUGUUAGAUUUCAGUUCAGUCCAGUUGGACAAGGAUCUAUCUUAUGUUGAGUAGCUAGUGGCAAUAUUGGAUAGGCAGGUUAGAAAGUUGAGGUCAAAGAACAUUGCAUCCGUAAAGGUUUAAUGGCGGGGUCAGCCGGUCGAGGAGGCGACUUGGGAGACCAAGAAGAUAUGUGCAGUCGUUACCCACAUCUUUUUACUACUUCAGGAUAGUCUCUAUGCUCGUUGGAGGACGAACGAAUGUUUAAGUAUAGGAGGAUGUGACGACCCGGCCGUUCGUUUUAAGAAUUUAAGCCUCGAUCCCCCAUUAACUGCUUUACCCAAGUUUAUUUCUACUAUUUUGAUUGGCCGGGAUGUUCGGUUUUGAGUUUCAGAGAGUUUUGGGACACAUAGUCCCUAAAUGAGAGCUUAAGUGUUGGAAAGUUGACCGUAGUUAGAAUAGUGUGAAGACGGACUCAGAAUGGAAAUUAGAUUGUUCUGUUAGCUCUGUUGGGUGAUUUCGAGCUUAGGGGCGUGUUCGGAUUGUGUUUUGGAUGUCCAUAGCUAAUUUAGGCUUGAAAUGCAAAAAGUUGAAUUUUUGAAGUUUCCGGUUCGAUAGUGAGAUUUUGAUCUGAUGGUUGGAAUGGAAUUCUGAAAGUUGGAGUAGCUCCAUAAUGUUUAAUGUGACAUGUGUGCAAAAUUUCAGGCCAUUCGGACAAGGUUUGAUAGACUUUUUUGAUCGAAAGCGUAUAUUUAGAGUUUUUGGAAUUCUUAGGCUUGAAUCCGAUGAAAAAUAGGUGUUUUGAUAUUGUUUUGAGCAUUCCGAAGAUUGGAACACGUUUGAACGAUGUUUUAGGAUUGGUUGGCAGGUUUGGUUGAGGUCCCCAGGGCCUCGGGUUUGGGUGGUCAAUCAGACCAUUUCAUGAUGUUUGUUGUUCUAGAAAACUGCUGUGUGUGUUGCAGAUCAGUUGUUCUUCGCGUUCGCGAAGGGUCAGGAUGUGGAGCUGAAGGUCUGGCCUUCGCGUUCGCGAGGGAGGUCCCGCGUUCGCGAAGGGCUGGGUCUUUGGACUACGCAUUCGCGAGAAGGGAGUCGCGUUCGCUAUGGACUAGGAAGUUGAGCCUUCGCGUUCGCGAAUAAGGGGACGCAUUCACGAAGAAGUAAAAAUGGUCAAUGUCAAUUUUUUCUUCGGAAAAGUGGGACUUUGACCGCGUUCGCGAAGAAGGAUUACCUAGGCAGAUUAUAAAAUUUCAAAGUCGAGGGUUUAGCCACUUUUAUCAAAACUAGAGUUUGAGAGCUCGGAUUUAAGCAAGAUUUUGAGGAAUUUUCAGAGAUAUCAAUUAGGUAACGAUUCCUUACUCCCUUUUUCUUGUAACUCAUUAAUCUAAAUAUGAAUUCAUCAUUUAAUUUCGGAAUGGAGAUUAAAAUUGGGGAAAAAUUGGAAGAAAAUUUUUAGACCUAGAACUCGUGAGAGCGUGAGGAUUCUAAAAAUAUAAAUUUUACCCGAUUUUAAGACAUGGGGCCGAGGGGCAUUUUGGUAAUUUUACCUAAUUUCGCGUAUUAGCUAAAUAUUUCUUUGUAGAAUCAGUUACUUGAAGUGUUAUUUAUAUUAUGCAAUUGAAUUCAAUAGAUUUGUUCUAUUUGGAGUCGAGUACUCGUGGUAAGAGCGUGGUUUCCGAUUGAUUUUGAACCUGUUCAAAGUAAGUGGCUUGUCUAACCUUGUGUGGGGACCUUCCCCUUAAGAUUUGGUAUAUUUGGUAAUUGAAAUGCCUUGUACGUGAGGUAACGAGUGCGUACUUGUGCUAAUUGUUUGAAAUCCGGUCUUCAUUAAGUAAUCACUAGUAUGUUUCCUUUCCUAGUUUUAUUACUUGCACUAUUAAGCCUGUUGUUAGCUUAGGAAGCAUAUCUAAGUGACUUAAUUGCUUUAUUUGCUCAACCUGCCUUACCUGAAUUCUAUAAAGCAUGCUAGGCUAGAAUCACUUGUUGCCUUAAUAUGAAAUUUUACCAUUUCCGUUUAUUUUCCUAUUGUUGCUGUGUAAUUAUUUUGGGACUAUGGAUGUGGGAUUCCGGUAGCUCCCCCUUAUCUGUUUAUUUUGGGACAACGGAUGUGGGAUUCUGGUAGCUCCCCCUGGUAUGUUUAUUUUGGGACUAUGAAUGUGGGAUUCCGGUAGAUUCCCCUGCACAGUUAUAUGGAACUACAAGAAUGCACCCGGUAGAUUCCCCAGUACUGGGUAUUUACAUUUGAGACUACGGAACUGGAUUCCGAUAGAUCCCCGCGCACUUUGAGUUGGACUACCGGAUGGGAUCCCAGGAGAUCCAUUGGAUAUGUACAUAUGGGACUACAGGACGGUAUCCUAGGAGAUCCCCGUUUGUUAAUUGGGGUCUAAGUCGCAUUUCUUUUUGUGUUUUGCCUUGUCUCUAUAAUAGUUGUUGUUGCCCUUUUUUUAUAUCAUGUGUUACUUUUACUGUUGUAUUUAUUUAUACCGUUCUGUUCUAUAUUGUCAAACUUUAUACUUUAUUUAACCUCAGUAGGGACCGAGGUUAGGCUUGACACUUACUGAGUACCGCUGUGGUGUACUCAUGCCCUUUCUGCGCAUGUUUUUCAUGUGCAGAUCCAGGUAUUGCAACUCAAUCCUAUCACCCGUGAGGCGAGGCGACUGCUCUAGAGACUUCGAGGUACAUCUGUCGCGUCCGCAGACCGAGGAGUCCCUUUCUAUUCUAGCUUUUAAACAUUUGCCCUUCUGUAUUUCUUUUCCUUGUUAGAUAUUCUGGAGUUAGAGUACUGUGUAGUGAUCCUUAGCUUGUGAUUCAUGAGUUUCCGGGUCAUGGAGAUAUGUAUUGGUUCUGAGAGUUAAAUGUUGUGUAUGGCGAGCGGCACUUUUAAAUAUUGUCUUAUUACUUUAAUUUUGUUUUAAAUUAUUUUACUUCCGAAAA
rnacentral:lncRNA from 1 species